UAGCGACCAUGAAAGGCUGAGCCACCUCGGCAGGCAGCUGGGGACGCCACCUCUGAUAGCCCGUCCCCUUUAUGGAUCACCUGAGUCCAGGCACCAGGCUGCCUCUCAGUCACGCAUGACCACAGCAUCCCAGAUCUGUACCUGUUGCCAAACAAAAAGGCUCCAAAUAUUCUCUGUAAUACUCUAAAAUAUUUAGGAGUUACACUGCAUCUUUGAUUUCACAAUCAAAGAAUGUACCUGGGCAUAUCUGUAAAAUUCUGAUGGAAACCUUUGAAUCCUACUGAUACUGAAAGUAUGUGCCUUCCUGUCAUCUGUCUUUCUUCUCUUUUCCUAAGAAGACCUCAUAGUCCAGAGAACUAAACUUGUCUUACUGGUUUGGCCCUCAGGAAAAGUACCUGGUAGGCUGCUUAACCAAGCGCUGUGUAUGCCUGGACAGAUACCAAAUAUUAUGUGCUUGAUGGGUUUGAUGAGGCAACAUCAAAAUAACUACGCGAAGAGUCCACAAACAUCACUGGAUGAGCAAUGCAAAAGCAGGGACAGGCAUGGCGAACACGGAUGCCUUGGUAAAGCCUCCCAAACAGUCCUUGCUAUCUUAAAGCAGCUGGAAGUGCCAUUACAUAGUCUGAG